rnacentral:rRNA from 1 species
UACAGAGGAGCCAAGCGUUGUCCGGAUUGACUGGGCGUAAAGCGCACGCAGGCGGGUGUGCGCGUGGGGGGUGAAAUCUGGCCGCUUAACGGCCAGGCGCCAUCCCAUACGGCACGCCUGGAGUGAUGCAGAGGUCGAUGGAAUUGCCGGUGUAGUGGUGAAAUGCUUAGAUAUGACAUAGAACACCAAUUGCGAAGGCAGCUGGCUACGCGAAUAUUGACACUGAUGCACGAAAGCGUGGGGAUCAAACAGG